GUUAAGCAAUGUGCAAGGCCCUGGGUUCAAUCCCCAGUACGGCUUGGGGAAAAAAAAAAAAAUUGAAAUUUCACCCUCACUAAGGAGUUUGCCUUUAAAAAAAAAACAAAAACAUUCUUCCCAUGUGUUUCCAAGAGAGGAGGAAAAAAGAUAAAUGUUAAGCACUCAUAUUUUGGGUACUUGGCAUAUUUCUGUCCUGUAAGGUAGGUAUUGCUGUUUUGUUGUUGUUGUUUGUUUUUGUUGUUGUUUUUGUUUUUAAUGGCUUUAUUAUGUGGUGCUGAGGGUCAAAUCCAGUGCUUCACACAUGCUAGCUAAGUGCUCUACUACUGAGCUACAACCCCAGUCUGGUAUUGCUGUUUUACUUAAAAAUUAGUUUCUGAGGUUAAGCAAUCUGAACAAGACAUGUAACUGCAAAGUACUUGUGCUGAGAUUUUGACUCAGUCUGACUUGAGAAUAUAACUUCCCAAACUACCAUAUUUAGUCUCCUAUUAAAUUUGCUAGUGUAAGCUCAAUCUACCAUGGUGUUUUGUAUAUAGGAAACUUUUAGUCAAAUGUUUGUAACAUUGAGUUUUCUUGCAUCCUUACUCUGUUUCUCCAGUGUUUGAGAGAGGAUUCCCCUGCUUUAAUCAUAGGAAUUGAGUAGACCGGGCCUGGAGGUAGGCAGGUAGAGAGUUUGCAAGUCUGCCUCCUGAAAUGUGAGCUACCUGGAGAUAAGCAAAGGCACAGCCUGCUGAAUUCCCUGCCAGGCAUACUGUAGAAAUUCCCACCACCCUAGGAAGAAUUCUACACUACUUUCACAAAAUCUUAGAAUGUUAGAGCUGGAAGGGGAUUAAAAGAUCACCUUCCCUAUUGGUUUCCAAAUAGUCAUGAAUCCCUUUGUUAAAAAUAACUUUCCAGAAGUAUAUAUUUUGAAGAACAAAACAUUUUAGUUAGAAGAAUCUAGUGAUAAUCUUCUUCCCAUCCCCCAUUCCACAAACAUCCCCUAGAACUGAGGAUCCCAGUUUGAAAAACAGUGUAACCCCAUCAUUCUUACAGAUGAUGAAACUGAAGUGCAAGUCUAGUAAAGAUCAAGGCGUGUUAGUACCUAAAUUCAUUCCAGAAGUUCUGUAAUUCCCGUGCUUUCCAUGGAAGUCAUCCUUACGCAGCAUUUCCAAAAGGGACUUUGUGAUCAAAACACUCAACUAGUUAUGAAGACGACAAAUCUGAACAAGUUCUAGUUCUCCCCACUCAGGAGCUAGGCUAAUGAAGAAUCUAGAGACAAAAAAUAACGCACGUUCGCACUGAACUAUACUUGUUUCCAAAAUACCACUCCUGAGAUUUAGGAAGGACGUCAGGACCUUGGCCAGCUCUGCGGAAGCCCUGUGGGCGGUAAAGUGGGGUCCCUCUAGACCCCAUAGAAGCCGGGGCUUGAGAGACGAGGCAGAGGCCGAACCUCGUGGGCAGAAUGGCUGGCGAACCCCAUGCUAACGCUCGGCGCUGUCCCCCGGAGGGGGUUGCUCACAGAGUGGGUGACCCAGCAGAGAUGCUCUCCAUGGGAUUCCGUGGCCCGGUGACAUUCCAGUCCUGCGCCUGCUGCAAGGGCUCACAGGACGCCAAGCGGAAGGGGCGGUGCUUGCGGCGGAAGUUGCCGUCUCAGGUCACGCGGGAGGCCCUGCGGCGCGCAGAGCUAGGGUUCAGAAGGCAUGGCACUCUGGCGGGCGUACCAAAGGGCCCUGGCUGCUCACCCGUGGAAAGUCCAGGUCCUGACGGCUGGGUCCCUGAUGGGUCUAGGUGACAUUAUCUCACAGCAGCUGGUGGAGAGGCGGGGUCUGCAGGAACACCAGACAGGCCGAACUCUAACCAUGGUGUCCCUGGGCUGUGGCUUUGUGGCCCCUGUACUAGGAGGCUGGUACAAGGUGUUGGACCGGCUCAUCCCUGGCACCAAAAAGGUGGAUGCACUAAAGAAGAUGUUGUUGGAUCAGGGGGCGUUUGCCCCGUGUUUUUUAGGCUGCUUCCUCCCAUUGAUGGGGACACUCAAUGGACUGUCAGCCCAGGAUAAUUGGGCCAAAUUACGGAGGGAUUAUCCUGAUGCCCUCCUCACCAACUACUAUCUCUGGCCUGCUGUGCAGUUAGCCAACUUCUACCUAGUCCCCCUGCAUUACAGAAACUGUUCCAGAGUGUCCCCCACUGACCUUCUAUCAUCUCGCUAUGGAGGAUCCUGCUUCUACAACUCUUGUCUCCAUCCCACCUGAGCUCUCCACCUUUGAUGGCAUAUCUGCAGAGACAGUGCCUCACUGGGGUGCUGCAUCCUAGGUUAGACAGAAAGGUAGACCUAAAGGCUUUGUCAGGUUGGCUGUUGUCCAGUGUGUUGCUGUCAUUUGGAACUCCUACCUGUCAUGGAAAGCACAUCAGUUCUAGCCUGCCUUGCUUCAUCAUUGCCACCCGCAGUGAUUCACCAUGAUCCCGGGAUUGUCAGACAGUCUCCUCAAAAUGGGCAUAUCAAUGUCCAUGGGGUUGGAAGUGCUGGUCAGAACUUGAUGAGAUGAGCACUCUGAAAUGGGACAUUUCAUUUUAAACUGUAAACUGCUUCUGAAAAUCACUAGCCCUUUAUAAUACAUUCAUGCAAUGCUUAUCAACAGUACGUUCUGAGAACUAUCAUUAGGCAAUUUCAUUGUCAUGCAAACAUCAUUGAGUAUACUUACACAAACCUAGGUGGUAUAGAUCAGUCACUUGAUGUGGCCUCUUGAUGCAGAGAAGAGACAUGGUAAAUAUGAGGUGUAUGAAGAUUGCUACCCGUCUAACACCACAUAAAGGUUUUUUUCCUAAAUUAGAGAAGACUCUAAAAUAACGAAAAGCCAGGUUCUGUGGUGUAUUCCUGUAAUCCCAACAACUCAGGAGGCUGAGGCAGGAGUUCAAGGCCAACUUUAGCAAGCAAUCAUGUGUCAAAAAAUAAAAAGGGCUGGGAAUGUGAUUCAGUGGUUAAGCACCCCUGGGUUAAAUCCCUGGUACCAAAAAGACAACAACAAGAAAAACUUUGAGUCAUAAAAUAAUGAUAAAGUAAAUAAAUAAACCAGUAAUAUUGUCUUUAUUAUUAUUAUCAAGUUUUAUGUGCUGCACAUAAGUCAUACAUGCUAUACUUUAAAGCAACUGGGGAUGCAGUAGGUUUGUUCCCACCAGCAUCACUACAAACAUAGGAUUAAUGCAUUGUGCUGUGAUGUUAAAACAGUUACCAUGUCACUAGGUGGUAAGAUAGGAGUUUCCAACUUCAUUACAAUUUUAUAGGGUCACCAUUAUGUAUAUGGUCUGUCAUUGACUGAAACAUUGUUUAUGGCACAUGACAGUCUUAUUCCCACUCAUGCCAACUUUUCAUUUACAUGUCUGUUCCCUUCCCAACCCUAGUGCUCUUUGGGAUCCCUUCAAACUCUUUAUUGUGCUUCAGUAAAUGUUUUAAAUACAUAAUCUGGAACGUGCAGAGGUCCGGAGUAAGACCCAGGAGAAAACUAUAAAAAUAGCUAUUGAUGGAAAGAAGCCUAUAUCCUCCAAGUCUUCAUUUACAAAUGCAGACGAUAAGGUCUGUGGAAGUGAGGUAACCUGUCUAAGAGUGGCAGAAUAAAAACUUGAACCCAA